rnacentral:lncRNA from 1 species
GGGUCAGGUGCACACACUGAGACGAGGUGCCCUGAGAAAGCUGUGAUUCCCUUUGUACUGUAAUUGUUUUGAAUGCAAGACGAAUUAGACGCGCUAACCACGCGGAACAACGGGCGAUAAUAAUAAAAGUAAACGAUUGACGGAUUAGAAUGAAGCGUAAACAUCACAUUAGCGUAAAACUGCCGGAAAUAAUGAAUGCGAGGGGCAGGUGCGAGUGGUGGACGGAAAAGCUGCCCGGCCACCAGACGACCAGUGCAUGUGUAGUGUGGACGUCUCUGCGUGGAAGGUGAAGGUUGCGUGUGAGCCAGUCAGUGCCUGUGAGUGUUUGUGACCCCUGAACUGAGCGGUCACUGGUGGUGAGAUGAGGAAUCAUUUGAUGACUAGCCUUAAAAACAACGUGUAUUCCAAGCAGACAUCGUACUGGAUUCUUUUUCAUCAAGCGCCCCUCCGUCCACCCCUCGCGAGCUUAACCAAGUCCGCCACACAUUACAGAGACGACGAGGACGGCAGGGGAACGCGGUACAGCUUUUGCUCGUGUGUCUUUGCUUCUUCGCUUGACUAAACCUAGAAUGCCAUCCCUUUUCCUCGUCUUCGUCGUCCUACUCUUCCUCGUCAUCCAGUAGCCCACUCCGGAAGGAAAUGAGCGUGACUACUGUUGCUACUCAAGGGAAGUCUCCCGCCUCUCAAAGACGAAGCAAGGAUAGGGAAAAGAAAAACGUCAGCAGCUGGGAAGGAGAGAAGAGAGAGAGACGCAGCGAGGGAAUCUUAA